rnacentral:rRNA from 1 species
UACGGAAGGUCCGGGCGUUAUCCGGAUUUAUUGGGUUUAAAGGGAGCGUAGGCCGGCUUUUAAGUCAGCUGUGAAAGUCCGCGGCUCAACCGUGGAAUUGCAGUUGAAACUGGAAGACUUGAGUGUGUUUGAGGUAGGCGGAAUGCGUGGUGUAGCGGUGAAAUGCAUAGAUAUCACGCAGAACUCCGAUUGCGAAGGCAGCUUACUAAGCCAUAACUGACACUGAAGCACGAAAGCGUGGGGAUCAAACAGG